rnacentral:misc_RNA from 1 species
GAUGAAGAACGCAGCGAAAUGCGAUAAGUAAUGUGAAUUGCAGAAUUCAGUGAAUCAUCGAAUCUUUGAACGCACAUUGCGCCCCUUGGUAUUCCGGGGGGCAUGCCUGUUCGAGCGUCAUUAUAACCCCUCAAGCUCAGCUUGGUGUUGGGGCCUGCCGACUGGCAGCCCUUAAAAUCAGUGGCGGCGCCAUCUGGCUCUAAGCGUAGUAAUUUCUCUCGCUAUAGAGUCCCGGUGGAUGCUUGCCAGCGACCCCCAACUUUCUAUGGUUGACCUCGGAUCAGGUAGGGAUACCCGCUGAACUUAAGCAUAUCAAUAAGCGGAGGA